rnacentral:rRNA from 1 species
UACGGGGGGGGCAAGCGUUGUUCGGAAUUACUGGGCGUAAAGGGCUCGUAGGUGGCCAACUAAGUCAUACGUGAAAUCCCUCAGCUUAACUGGGGAACUGCGUCUGAUACUGGAUGGCUUGAGUUUGGGAGAGGGAUGCGGAAUUCCAGGUGUAGCGGUGAAAUGCGUAGAUAUCUGGAGGAACACCGGUGGCGAAGGCGGCAUCCUGGACCAAUACUGACACUGAGGAGCGAAAGCCAGGGGAGCAAACAGG